CCAAACUUGGUCAUUUAGAGGAAGUAAAAGUCGUAACAAGGUCUCCGUAGGUGAACCUGCGGAGGGAUCAUUAAUUGAGAUAAUUGGUGAUGUGUGCCGAUAUGAUUUAUGUAUUGGUACACGGAACAACAGCAGUAUGUGUAGUGUAGUGUAUAUACACUAUUCUAUACAUGCUGCAAGCAGUAUCUAUACUGCAGUGAUUAUGCAGUCACCUCGACUGAUAGUCUCACACACGAUAUAGUUGACAAAAAGACAAAAAGAGAAAACUUUUAACAAUGGAUCUCUUGGCUCUUGCAUCGAUGAAGAACGCAGC
rnacentral:misc_RNA from 1 species